GUCGCCCAUCCCCCCACUUGUCCCCUUCCUCAUCCCAUCAACCGUCCCCCCACCUGUUAAACGAUGUUCCAAUCAUGCUUGGGGACAUUUCCCCCAUCCCUCCCAUUCAACAUGAUUCACUCCUAGCAGGACAGCGAGAAUCAACGCCCAUCAGUAUAUCAUCAUCUAAAGAAUCGAACUAAUCCAAUCAAUAGUGCAGAAGUAACCGCAGGGAAUAUUUAUUCAACAUUUUAACAUUUUCAACAACUCAACAUUUUAUUAACAUUUAUUCGAUCUAUAUUUCAAAUGAAAUGAGUUUAAAUGUCAUAACUUAUCUGCAAGCUCUUCUUGCAUACAACUUUACAUACUCGAAUACACUGAUUAUGUUUAAAAUGAAAAGUUUUACUGUAACAAACCUUAUGUAAGUUGUUGGAAUUAAACAUAUCAUAUUUGCCAUUUGUA